CCAGCCCUACCUUGGUUGAUCCUUGCCCCUAGACCCAGCAGAGGACGGUGCGCGUCCAUCCUAUGGGACACGGCCGUAACCCCUUCCCCAGCCCCCACUUUAGCACACCCUGCAGAGCAGAGGCCUGACCUGAGCUGGCUCUAAACAGCUCCCUGAGGCUGGAGGCCAGACAGCCACAAGCCAGGAGCAAGAUUCUAGAAUACAAAGCUAUUAUAAUAAGGAGUUUCUCUGCAAGGCCAAAAGCCUCAGACAUUAAUAGAGGCAGAAGAUGAGUUGCAGACCCUGAAGUAAUGUCUUUUGGAAAGGUCAGCCUGUGGCAGCUAUGCUCAUGGAAACUCAAGGAAGGUGUUUGCAUCCAUGCUUCUACCAGAAGACUAAAAGGAAGCCAUGUCCUCCCACCCAGCCCUCCAGAGUGAAGGGUCUCGCUCUGUCGCUCAGGCUGGAGUGCAGUGGCGCAAAAAUGGUUCACUGCAGUCUUGACCUCCCAGGCUCCAGCAAUCCUCCCACCUCAGCCUCCCGAGUAGCCGGGACCACAGAUAUGAAUCCCAAGCAGUGAUGACAAAAUGAGUGAGCACAGCUGGAGCAGAUGCAUCCUGGCAACAGCGGUUCCCUGAAGAGACUGGCCUUUGGUUCCUGCUGCACCCACUCCAAGACCCUGGAGGGGACCUGGGUCCUGAGUCAUCACUCUGAUUUUAUAGUUCCCACAGCUUUCCAAGGAAAUGCUUUCCUGCCAAAGGCAGCCAAGUUGCUGCUUGCAACCAAAUAGGAUUCCUUACUACUUUCUAAAUAAAUCCCCUAUGCUCUAGAAAAAAGGGACAACUCCCUAAAUGUGCCUUGUGAUAGCCUUUCUUUGUACCUGUUGGCCUGCA
rnacentral:lncRNA from 10 species